GCCUAAAGCGUCCGUAGCCUGUUUUGUAAGUUUUCGGUUAAAUCCAUACGCUCAACGUAUGGGCUGCCGGAAAUACUGCAAAACUAGGGAGUGGGAGAGGUAGACGGUACUCGGGAGGAAGGGGUAAAAUCCUUUGAUCUCUCGAUGACCACCUGUGGCGAAGGCGGUCUACCAGAACACGUCCGACGGUGAGGGAUGAAAGCUGGGGGAGCAAACCGGAUUAGAUACCCGGGUAGUCCCAGCUGUAAACUAUGCAAACUCAGUGAUGCAUUGGCUUGAUGCCAAUGCAGUGUUGCAGGGAAGCCGUUAAGUUUGCCGCCUGGGAAGUACGUACGCAAGUAUGAAACUUAAAGGAAUUGGCGGGGGAGCACCACAAGGGGUGAAGCCUGCGGUUCAAUUGGAGUCAACGCCAGAAAUCUUACCCGGAGAGACAGCAGAAUGAAGGUCAAGCUGAAGACUUUACCAGACAAGCUGAGAGGUGGUGCAUGGCCGUCGCCAGCUCGUGCCGUGAGAUGUCCUGUUAAGUCAGGUAACGAGCGAGAUCCCUGCCUCUAGUUGCCACCAUUACUCUCAGGAGUAGUGGGGCGAAUUAGCGGGACUGCCGCAGUUAAUGCGGAGGAAGGAGGGGGCCACGGCAGGUCAGUAUGCCCCGAA
rnacentral:rRNA from 1 species